ensembl:lncRNA
CAAACUGUCCAAGGAGCUAUGUUGCAGACUUGUAAGGAACACAAUAACCAGUAUGGUUGCUAUCCUGCGUGCUAGUCCCAUGGGGAAAGAAGUCAGUUACCCGUCAAAAUUGGAAAUAAGAGCCAUGUCACAGAAGAUUAUAGACUAUUACCCAAUGUUACGGGAUGAUGAUCCAAACAUGCCUUAUCUGACUAUCUACACCAAAAUGUACAAGCGACUCCAAAAUAUGAGAUCCCCACGGAAGAGGCAAGGCUCUGUACCACAAAGAGGAGUGGCAAAGACAGCUCUCUUCAGUGCAGACAACCAAGACAUGGAGACGGAUUGGACAGACACAAGCAACUCAAGUGAUAAUACCUUACUUCUUGAGAGCAAUGAUGACCUUACCGAGGACAACUCCAGUGAAGGUGUGCAAAUUGUUUGCAAAAAAUGAAGGGGUGCUGUUAGACUACUGUUUUUUUGUCUAAAAAUUGUCUAAUCAUGUAAUGAAACUAUAGUUUUUAUGGCUAGGCAUGCACUGUGUUUAUCUGCCGGUUUUGCUUGUUGUCAUGCUUUUAUUUGUGUUUUAUUUAUUUCAUUAUUUCCCCAAAAAG